rnacentral:rRNA from 1 species
GUCUGAUUACGUAGAUGGUGGGGUGACCGGCUAGCGAGCCGACGAUCACUAGCCGCCCUGAGAGGGUGAUCGGACACACUGGAACUGAGACACGGUCCAGAUUCUUACGGGAGGCAGCAGUAGGGAAUAUUGCUCAAUGGGGGAAACCCUGAAGCAGCAACGCCGCGUGGAGGAUGAAGGUUUUAGGAUUGUAAACUCCUUUUGUUAGAGAAGAUUAUGACGGUAUCUAACGAAUAAGCACCGGCUAACUCCGUGCCAGCAGCCGCGGUAAUACGGAGGGUGCAAGCGUUUCUCGGAAUCACUGGGCGUAAAGAGUGCGUAGGCGGGGUAAUAAUUCAGAUGUGAAAUCCUGUAGUUUAACUACAGAACUGCAUUUGAAACUGUUACUCUGGAGUGUGGGAGAGGUAGGUGGAAUUCUUGGUGUAGGGGUAAAAUCCGUAGAGAUCAAGAGGAAUACUCAUUGCGAAGGCGACCUGCUGGAACAUUACUGACGCUGAUGCACGAAAGCGUGGGGAGCAAACAGGAUUAGAUACCCUGGUAGUCCACGCCCUAAACGAUGGAUGCUAGUGGUUGCCUUGCUUGUCAGGGCAGUAAUGCAGCCAACGCAUUAAGCAUCCCGCCUGGGGAGUACGGUCGCAAGAUUAAAACUCAAAGGAAUAGACGGGGACCCGCACAAGCGGUGGAGCAUGUGGUUUAAUUCGAAGAUACGCGAAGAACCUUACCUAGGCUUGACAUCGAUAGAAUCUACUAGAGAUAGUGGAGUGCCCUUCGGGGAGCUUGAAAACAGGUGCUGCACGGCUGUCGUCAGCUCGUGUCGUGAGAUGUUGGGUUAAGUCCCGCAACGAGCGCAACCCUCGUCCUUAGUUGCUAGCAGUUCGGCUGAGCACUCUAAGGAGACUGCCUUCGUAAGGAGGAGGAAGGUGAGGACGACGUCAAGUCAUCAUGGCCCUUACGCCUAGGGCUACACACGUGCUACAAUGGGGCGCACAAAGAGGAGCAAUAUCGCGAGGUGGAGCAAAUCUCAAAAACGUCUCUCAGUUCGGAUUGUAGUUUGCAACUCGACUACAUGAAGCUGGAAUCGCUAGUAAUCGUGAAUCAGCCAUGUCACGGUGAAUACGUUCCCGGGUCUUGCACUCACCGCCCGUCA